rnacentral:rRNA from 1 species
AGUGAACGCUGGCGGUAGGCCUAACACAUGCAAGUCGAACGGCAGCACAGUAAGAGCUUGCUCUUACGGGUGGCGAGUGGCGGACGGGUGAGGAAUACAUCGGAAUCUACUUUUUCGUGGGGGAUAACGUAGGGAAACUUACGCUAAUACCGCAUACGACCUACGGGUGAAAGCAGGGGAUCUUCGGACCUUGCGCGAUUGAAUGAGCCGAUGUCGGAUUAGCUAGUUGGCGGGGUAAAGGCCCACCAAGGCGACGAUCCGUAGCUGGUCUGAGAGGAUGAUCAGCCACACUGGAGCGGGAACGGGGCCAAGACCCCUGAGGGGGGCAGCAGUGGGGAAUAUUGGACAAGGGGCGAAGGCCUGACCCAGCCAUCCCGCGGGGGGGAAAAAGGCCUGCGGUUUGUAACGCCUUUUUAUGGGAAAAAAAAAGCAGCAGGUUAAUACCCCGCUGUUGUGACGAUACACAAAAAAAAGGCCGCGGCUAGGUUGGUG